UAUUAAAAAUUUCAUCUAUUUCUACUACUAAAAUUGGCAGGGCUGACAAAAUAAUGAGACAAUUACACAUGAUAUGUAUAUGUACCUUAUGUUGAUGUACAAAGACCAAUUUUAAACAGUAAAAAUGGAUGAAACUUUUAACA
rfam:Gossypium hirsutum cultivar TM-1 unplaced genomic scaffold scaffold189.1, whole genome shotgun sequence